UACAGAGGGGGCAAGCGUUGUUCGGAAUUACUGGGCGUACAGGGAGCGUAGGCGGUUGGAUAAGCCCUCCGUGAAAUCUCCAGGCUUAACCUGGAAAGUGCAGAGGGGACUGUUCAGCUAGAGGAUGGGAGAGGAGCGCGGAAUUCCCGGUGUAGCGGUGAAAUGCGUAGAGAUCCGGAGGAACACCAGUGGCGAAGGCGACACGCUGGGACGUUACUGACGCUGAGACGCGAAAGCGUGGGGAGCAAACAGG
rnacentral:rRNA from 1 species